rnacentral:lncRNA from 1 species
UUGGCAAUAGAGUUGUCGGAAUGUGGUGUUGCCGAAGGAGGACUAUAUUUUGGUUUGAGAAAGACCGAGAUCUGAAUCGAGAAGACAAUUGUUGCUGCAUUGUUUCCGAACAGCCGUUGUUGCUCCGUUUCUGGGCAGCCACCUUGUUGCCCACUCUCUUCUAUCUCUCUUUAUUUUAGCUCCCAUUUACAGCUGCACACACUAACUUAUUUUUCUUGGUGUUUUCUCUAAUUGCAGGAAUUAAAGAACACGCUUAGCUCGAGUGUAGUUGUGCUUCGGGAAAAAAUAAAAUAAGCCUCCGGCAUGUGAGAACG